AACAUAGAUUCUCUAAGAGAGCAGCUUGUUUCGGAGGUCCGAACCAGGUUUUCAAUUUUUUAAAAGAAGAACGUGGGAUUAAAGAUGGCUUUUGCCAACAGUUUAAAGACGAAAGGAUGGACUUUACAGCUGUGAGGAUGGCAACAGAUGGACAUUUGCAAGCUCUUUGUUCGGUUUGUGGGGGCGACAUACUUGCGCUGAGAUAACCCUUGCACUUUGAAGGCACCAUACAUGAUGACGACUUUGCGGGUGAUAAAAGUUUCAUGUAUGGGAAAUCUACAGCAAACCAAAGAAUUGAAGCAUGGUGGGGACGUUUAAGGCAAGGAUGUGCAGAAUGGAGGAUUACAUUUUUUAAGGACUUGAGAAAUUCUGGUUUAUAUCACGAUGAUGAUAUAAUACACCGCGAAUGCCUGAAGUUCUGUUUCAUGGAUGUCAUACAAAGUGAACUAAACAGAGCUGCACUAGUGUGGAAUGUUCACCGAAUUCGGCCGUCUAGCAAUGUGGAAUCUCCGUUGGGAAAGCCAGAUGUACUCUACUUCAUUCCGGCAACAGCUGAGAGUCAAGAUUAUAUGACUCCCGUUGACAUUGACGAAAUCGAAAUCGCACAGGAUACAUGUGCCGAGCAACCACAAGCGAAAGGAUGUCCUUACUUUAAAGAGCUCUGCGAUCUAAUCAUGGAGGAUGAAGGUCUAGAACCAGCUACAACAGCAGAGGAAGCUCUCCAACUCUACUUUGAUUUACUGGAACAUAUUUAAUGCCAUAC